rnacentral:lncRNA from 14 species
UGAAUACAGGGGCAGACAUCUGAUCACGCUGAACCCAGAGGCAGGCUUGGUGAAUUUUGGAGCUGCCCAUGUGCCAGUGUCAUUGUACUUGAUUAACAAGAGCUUUCACACAGAUGGGGAGGUGGGUGAAGUCUGCCAUCGAGCCAGCACCCCAGGGAUGCCUGUGGACCCACCCAAGGCAGCACCAGUGAGGAUCCUUCCAUGCCAUGGUGGACUCCAGAGGUGUAGGAACCCCCUUGGAUGUUACAGAAACAUGAUCAGAGCCCUCUCCACAUGUGGAAUUCUCCCUGAAGGUCUCAAAAGCUGA